AAACUUUGCAAUGUGCGAAAGCACGACAAGGUUAUCCGAGUGAUUUGUGCUAAACGAAUCUUUGUAGUCCUAGAACACUACGAUAAGGGUGGCA
rnacentral:rRNA from 1 species